GACGAACGCUGGCGGCGUGCUUAACACAUGCAAGUCGAACGGUGACCUCGAGAGCUUGCUCUUGGGUGAUCAGUGGCGAACGGGUGAGUAACACGUGAGGAACCUGCCCCAGACUCUGGAAUAACCCCGGGAAACCGGAGCUAAUACCGGAUAUGACAUCAGGCCGCAUGGUCAUGGUGUGGAAAGUUUUUCGGUCUGGGAUGGCCUCGCGGCCUAGCAGCUUGUUGGUGAGGUAGUGGCUCACCAAGGCGACGACGGGUAGCCGGCCUGAGAGGGCGAGCGGCCACACUGGGACUGAGGCACGGCCCAGACUCCUACGGGAGGCAGCAGUGGGGAAUAUUGCACAAUGGGCGAAAGCCUGAUGCAGCGACGCCGCGUGAGGGAUGACGGCCUUCGGGUUGUAAACCUCUUUCAGUAGGGAAGAAGCGCAAGUGACGGUACCUACAGAAGAAGCACCGGCUAACUACGUGCCAGCCGCCGCCGUAAAAC
rnacentral:rRNA from 1 species